rnacentral:lncRNA from 1 species
UCACACAAAUACAUCACAAUCAGAAAUUGGCCAAGAAAACUUAAAUGAAAAAUAAAACACAAAUAAAAAUACUAUAUGUAGAUCUCGCGCAUAAGAGAGUAUACACAAAAAUUGGCCAAAAGAUCUUACAUGAAAAAGAGAAGGCAAAUAAAAAUACAAAAAAAGUCGCAUACAUAAGGCAUAUAUACAACAAUUGGCCAAGAGAGCUUACAUGAAAAAAGAAAAUAUAAAAAAAAUUACAUGAUACAGAAUUGCAUACAUAAGAGAAUAUACACAAGUUCUAGAAGUCUUGCAUGCACAUGAAUAUGAGACCCGAGAGAGAUAUAGGAUACAGUAUAAUGACCCAACAUAAUUUAACUGAUAGAAGGAACAAAUAUUGUAGAACAGAAGAAAAGCAGAAGAGAUAACGCACAAUGGCAGUUGGUUCACUAAGCUAGACUACUGUCAAAAAUGACAUGCUUUGCAUCAGCCUCCUUACAACACUGGCUUCCUCAAAGGCAAUGCAUGUGAGCUCUGCAGCGAAUAUGAAUGGUAAAUACGUGACGGUUGUGCUCAGGCCUGAUCUCCCAAAUCACCAGCACGGCCAGCAAUCUCCAAUACAUAUUAUCAUGUCUAGAUUAGAACAACUACUGCAAUAGAAUGACUCCUUUUUUUUUGUUACCUUUCAUGCAAGAAUUCAACAUUGCUCAUUUCUUGUUAUUAGGCACACCAUACCUAAUUGUAAAGAUAAAUGACAACAAUAAAUAUAUAGAAACAUCAUGCAUACUAUAGCUUUGGGCACACAAUUAUAAAGGAUUCCGGGACAAACAAGAAUGAAGUGUAAGUGUUUUGCUGAAUACUUUGCUAAAUAUGCACAAGAAACAUGAAUAUGUAUACAAUGCCACCAUAAAGACAAGAAAUAUUUCAGACAUGACUCACAGCUAGUUCCACUUACGUAGUUACAUACCUUAGGCAUCUAUCAAGCCAUGGAUCAUUUGUCAAGCAUAGUAUACACUUAUUUUAGUUGUUUGUUUAUGUGCCAAUAAUAUUAGCUCUGCAGCUCUCGUUUCAUCAAUCUUCUCACCUGAAAGGACAUCAAGCAAUCACUAAUGCAUACAUGAUGGUCUUUAGAGGGGGGAAAUGAGCAUGUAGACGGUAUGGUAUAUACAAUGGAACAAACAAUGAACAACAAUUGCAAUACAUUUUAUAUGUAGUGUGCAAUAAGAGAUGGAGAUAACCUAUCAAAAUAAAAAGAAAGACAUUUUAUAUAACCAUAUAGUAACCUGCAGUUUCCAGUUUUUAUGUCAACUCACCAAUAAAAGAAGCAUCAUCGUCUAAUAGUGGUAUAUGUGUCGAAACCGAUCUACUACGAUCAUUAGUAAAUUUUGGGGUGCUAAAAAUUUUUAACACAAAAUUAUGGCAUGCAUGAUAUCGAAGUCAAUUGCACAAGUAAGAAUUGCUAACAAAGAUGAAGAAAGAGUUCAUGUUAUCUCACAGUUUAUCACAUGGAGAAGGGACAUUUCUUCUUCUUUGUGUGUAAUAAAACUCCCUCUUUUAUUAGUCCUGUGCUACCUCGGUAUUUCAAUUUCUGCACCUGCAAAAGGGUGAAGAUAGAGUUAGGAAGAUAUUCGCGGUAGAAUGAUUAGGGUGGGUUUGGAACGACUUAGGCUUGUGCGUAAGAUAACUUCCUACGUAAGCUCUAGAUAAGACGUAGUGAGAAUAAACUGUGAGUAAUUGUAAUUGUAUGUUUGGAACGGCUUAUGAAUUUGGGUUUAUUGCCCUACAUUGCAAUUUAAAAGAUGCAAAGUAUAAAAUACCCCUGAACUUUCAAUUACCACUGUACCAAAUGUUACAGGGCGCUACUGAAUACUUGCCUGUUUCUGAACUUUAACAAUCAAUGGUUUGAUAAACAAUCAGAUAAAAAACUCACAAUGUCACACUCCCCGAUCCAUGACCAGAGUAGUAACCAAUCCACACUAUCCACUAUUUUUGUAGUUGCUGGUCCGUAUACACAUAAUUUAGAGAACAAAACAGCUCUCUCUAGUUGCUUCUCAAUAUACACAUUUAGAGUACGUAAUGGGCCUAGGCUGGCGGUAUAGCCCGUUAGUAUUAGGGUUAAUUAGAGAUAAGGGUCGCUUGCUUAGGGGUCAAGUAAAGCCUUGCUGGGAGUCAAGUAAACCUCUUUAUAUAAAUCAAUCUAAUCAAGCAAGAAUUAAAAAGGAAAUCCUUUCCCUCUUGCCCGGCCGUGGGCAAUAAGGCCCCCGGCCGGCCCUCUCGCACCCUCCUUCUAGCAGCACCAUAACAAUUUGGUAUCAGCUAGCUUCGAUUCGAUCAUGUCUUCACCGCCGCCCAACCCGUCUCUCCUGCUGUCGGUCACCUCGUCGCUUCCGGCGACCACCACGACCGUCGCCCCGCUCCUGCCCGCGCCGGGCUCCUCCGUCGCGCCCGCCCCCGCCGUCCUCACCCCGGAGGAGGUGUCCGGGACGCUGCGGGACCUAACCCAGGCGGUCCAGGAGGUCCGCAUGUUCUUGGCCGGGUCCUACGGGCCGCACCCGGCUGCGCCGCCCAUUGCCACCACCGCGCCGCCGUGGCAGCCGCCGCACCAGGCGGCCUCCGCCGCGCUCGCCGAGCCGCUGCAGCUGCCAUCCACCGCCACCACCGCCCCGCCCUAGCUGUAGUGGCAGCCGCCGCAGCAGCCGCUGCAGCUGCAGCAGCCACCGCCAGUCAGCUCCGGCCCCGCAUCGCCCGCGCUGGCGGGAGUCCCGAUCCACCAGGUCCGGUUCCCGCCCUCGCCGUCACCUCUUUCGUCUUGGAUCGCUACCCGCCACGUGUUGGCGGCAGUGAGGCUGCAGGCUGCUGCGCGCGACCUCCUAGUGCGUCGGCGUGUGCGGGAGAUGUGUGGUCUGCAGCUGCCGCUCCUCCAAAUUGCCCUUCGCUGCGCAAAGGACCUCGAUCUCGUCCGCUGCGUCGGGGAUCUUGGGCAUGCGGUUUCCCCCACGGGCGGUGGGCAUGCUGUUUUCCCCGCGGGCAGCGACCUCAAAGUCUGCGACAUCGGCGGUUGGGGGGGCGCACCCCUCUUCGUCAUUCUCCAUCGCAAGCCCUCCACUCUUACCUGUGCGGUGCAAACCAACAACCAUACACAUGCACUCCUUUUGUCCAGGUGGUGUCCAUGGGAUCCAGGUGGUUGUACACGUGCACGUCCGACGUGCGGAUGGUGUCCACUUUUUGUUAAGGGGUCCAAAAUAAAGCAUCCCAGUCCAUUUCAGGUUGAGAGUAAUAAAACAAGCCGAGAUGUAAAAAGGCUUGUUUUUAGGUGUUAGGUUUGUCUUGCGUCGAGUCAUGGUUAUAAGUUGGUUAGGCCGCAGCUCGAGGACAAGCUGCAUGUCCAGGUGGGGUGUAGUGUUAGAGUACGUCAUGAGCCUAAUGGGCCUGGGCUGGCGGUAUAGCCCGUUAGUCUUAGGGUUAAUUAGAGAUAAGGGUCACUUGCUUAGGGGUCAAGUAAAGCCUUGCUUGGGAGUCAAGUAAACCUCUCUAUAUAAAGAGAGGAGAUGUAUCAAUCUAAUCAAGCAAGAAUUAAGAAGAAAAUCCCUUCCCUCUUGCCCGGCCGUGGGCAAUAAAGCCCCCGGCCGGCCCUCUCGCGCCCUCCUUCUAGUAGCCACAUAACAUAUGACAUAUUGAGAGAGGGACAAUGAACUGCUCAAUCUCAGUUUAGGAACAAAAACUAAUUCUAUUGCAAGAAGAUAAUACCUUGAGAUGGAGGGCAGUUGGCGACCAGGUUGUAAAUCUGGUCACAUGAUUGGGGCCUGUAGGAAAGGAAGAGUAUUUCGUGGGAUUUAAUAGGAGAAGCGAAAGAUCUCUCUCUCCUUCACGUGGCUACUCCCACCCCACCCAUGGCUAGGACUAGGGGCACAUUUGAGGCAAAAGAGCUCUGCACACCCAUUUGCUACGCCUGAACCACCGCAUUCUCGGAACCAAGGCUCUGUCCUCUCCCCCAUCCUCCCACCCACCCAGAGUCAUUCGCCUUCCCCUCCUCUGCGCCGGCAAACAAGAUGAGUCAUGGAGGCGCCGCCGACGUGAAUCUCGGUGACGGCGUGUGCCCAUGUUUCCUGUGCAGUACCAGGAGAAGCAUGCGGCGUGCGCCCCCUGUGCUUCUCCCAUUCGCGGUGCAGGGGGGCGCACGCCACGUACUUCUCCUGGCACUGCACAAGAAACAUUUUUUCUUGAUUUGUUCAAGCAACCGGCGCAUCAAGCAAGGAAGGAGGCAAAGCAAAGAUGAUCCAUUUGUGCAGUAC